UACGGAGGGUGCGAGCGUUGUCCGGAAUCAUUGGGCGUAAAGGGCGCGUAGGUGGCGCGGUCAGUUCGUGGUGAAAGCGCGGGGCUCAACCCCGCGUCGGCCAUGAAUACUGCUGGGCUGGAGCACUGUAGAGGCAGGCGGAAUUCCGGGUGUAGCGGUGGAAUGCGUAGAGAUCCGGAAGAACACCGGUGGCGAAGGCGGCCAGCUAGACCAGUUCUGACACUGAGGCGCGACAGCGUGGGGAGCAAACAGG
rnacentral:rRNA from 1 species